rnacentral:rRNA from 1 species
GGCACGUGCGAUCGCGCCCGCGAGGGCCGGUCACGAAGCCCUGACGAGUAGGAGGGUCGCGGCGGUGAGCGCAGAAGGGCUGGCCGCGAGGCCGUCUGGAGCCGCCGUCGGUGCAGAUCUUGGUGGUAGUAGCAAAUACUCCAGCGAGGCCCUGGAGGACUGACGUGGAGAAGGGUUUCGUGUGAACAGCCGUUGCACACGAGUCAGUCGAUCCUAAGCCCUAGGCGAAAGCCGAUGUCGAUGCGGUGUAGUUUUACUAACUAAUAUAUAUAUAUAUAUGUAUUAUAGUAUGUGGCACACACCCGUCGGGCGAAAGGGAAUCCGGUUCCUAUUCCGGAACCUGG